rnacentral:rRNA from 1 species
CCUACGGGUGGCAGCAGUGGGGAAUAUUGGGCAAUGGGCGCAAGCCUGACCCAGCAACGCCGCGUGAAGGAAGAAGGCUUUCGGGUUGUAAACUUCUUUUCUCAGGGACGAAGAAAGUGACGGUACCUGAGGAAUAAGCCACGGCUAACUACGUGCCAGCAGCCGCGGUAAUACGUAGGUGGCAAGCGUUAUCCGGAUUUAUUGGGUGUAAAGGGCGUGUAGGCGGGAGCGCAAGUCAGAUGUGAAAACUCAGGGCUCAACCCUGAGCCUGCAUUUGAAACUGUGUUUCUUGAGUGCUGGAGAGGCAAUCGGAAUUCCGGGCGUAGCGGUGAAAUGCGUAGAUAUACGGAGGAACACCAGUGGCGAAGGCGGUCUGCUGGACAGCAACUGACGGUGAGGCGCGAAAGCGUGGGGAGCAAACAGGAUUAGAUACCCGUGUAGUC